rnacentral:rRNA from 1 species
UACGGAGGGAGCUAGCGUUGUUCGGAAUUACUGGGCGUAAAGCGCGCGUAGGCGGCUUUGUAGGUUAGGGGGGAAAGCCCGGAGCUCAACUCCGGAACUGCCUUUAAAACUGCAUCGCUUGAAUCCAGGAGAGGUGAGUGGAAUUCCGAGUGUAGAGGUGAAAUUCGUAGAUAUUCGGAAGAACACCAGUGGCGAAGGCGGCUCACUGGACUGGUAUUGACGCUGAGGUGCGAAAGCGUGGGGAGCAAACAGG